rnacentral:misc_RNA from 1 species
GUCAGAAGGAGGAAUUGCCUCGAUUGCCACCUGUCAAACUGAAGUCUGAAGACAAACCUUUGAGUCUUAAUUGGAAGGAAAACUUUGAACGUGAUGGACAAAUUGCAACAUUUACUGGAAUUGACAGCUCCCUUCUUAUAGGGUCUUAUCUAGAUGUUCCUGUCGGGCAAGAAAUUUCAUCUGCUGGUGGAAAGAGGAAUGCUGGUGGCAAUUGGUUGUCUGUAAGUCAGGGAAUUGCAG